CCCUUAGAUGUCCGGGGCUGCACGCGCGCUACACUGAAGGAAUCAGCGUGCUAAAACCAUUGUCGAAAGGCAUUGGUAAACCCAUUAAAAUCCUACGUGAUUGGGAUCGGGAAUUGCAAUUAUUUCCCUUGAACGAGGAAUUCCCAGUAAGUGUGGGUCAUAAGCUCGCGUUGAUUACGUCCCUGCCCUUUGUACACACCGCCCGUCGCUGCCCGGGACUGAGCCGUUUCGAGAAAAGCGGGGACUGCUGCUGUCGGGGCUUUCGGGCCUUGGCUUCGGGGGAAACCGCUUUAAUCGCAGUGGCUUGAACCGGGCAAAANUCGUAACA
rnacentral:rRNA from 1 species